GUCACAUCACCAUGGAAUUAUGAGGACUCCAAAAGUUCUACAUCCAUCCUGGCCUUUUGGGGUCUUCUGAGUGGCCAAGGUUCCUACCAGCUGAGAGGACAAAGACCACAAUUUAGGAAACUAACUCAGCUGCAGAACAGAUCAGAAAAUAACCGAGGGAAUAAAACAUACACCCUGACUGGCUGAACUGGUCAAGCAGGAGGGACUCAUCAUUAUAAUGAGCACCACCACUGGUUAAUUCUGGCAAGUUAAAAGGUUGUUAGAACUCUAAGCAAUUCAUAGAAGAAACUGGAACUUGAAAGCGGUUCAGUGGCUUGCCUAAAAUGACAAAGACAGAUGUGGGACUAGAACUCCUUUUUCUCAGACUUCUAGUUCAGUAUUCCUGUAAGUCACAGGUCUCAGAAGUGUAGCCAGUUGUCUCACCAGCAAGGAUCUAGUCAAUCAGCAGCAGUCCCCAAGUCUUCUUCACCCUAGAGCACCUGAGAACCCAUCAAUAUACUGUGUAUGCUCUGGGGGCACAGACCACAAAGAAAAUGAAUUAGAGGACACCUAUACCUCGCAAAACACAGGCAUACGACGGAUAUUUGAUAAACAAAUGGAUGACAGUACACAUGUGGCAGUUAAAGUCAGCAUAAGACUCUGACGGUACAACAUUAGACCAACUACUGACUAAACCAAAAUUAUUACAAAAUGGCACUCAACAAGGCAUGGAUAAAGAACCCUCCAAAGGAGUGUGUGAGAACGUUCCAAAAGGCCUGACGCCAGCGGUCCCACUUACAACUAAGAACAUUAGAUAGUACCCAAUGGCAUGUUCCAGACAGGCACUGAGACUACCAGCACAAGUCAGUUAAUACUCAACACUAAGUGAAGGGGAGGGAUGGGACAUUAAGCUGUUGUGGCAAAGAAAGCAAUGCUGCUCUACCACCAUCAUUGUGGAGGACAGAAAGGCAGCUUUCAGAGUCAGGAACUAAAGCUCAUAGGAGGAUCCCCACAGGACCAGUCAGGGCAUGGUAAAAACUGGAAACUUUACCAAGUGUAAAAUGUAUAUUUGCCAAUGAACAAGUCUGUAAUUCAUUUAAAGGUAAGAGAAAUACAAACCACUAAUGAAAGGCUAGUAAUUUAACAAGCAACCUGUACAAAGAGUGAAGUUCUGCAAAGCACGGAAUGAUCUGGAGUAACAAUAGGAACUUUCCAGUAUCUGACUAUGAAUUUUAAAAGUCUGAUUAGAAGCUGUUGUUUUUCAAGGGACAAAGCACAAAUAUUGAAUUUAGCUUCCAAUACAUACUGUGGAAGCCUGGCAAAGAAAAAGGACUUUGAGGUACAAUCUGGUUAACAGCAGACCAUCAUCAUUAACUUAAAUUUGACAGGUGAUUUGACAGGAGAAAAAGUUUACUAGACUCCUAUAGCCCAUGUAUUUAUCAUCAGACUAAUUCAAGUGAAAACUCAUCACACAGCAGAGGGAUGUAUCGAUUUCUGUCCCUUACAUGCAGGUACCUCUAGCAUUAGAGAAGACAAGAAAUAAUAUGCAUUUGCCUCCUGGUGCUUGAAGUGGCAGUUAAUCAAGAGAAGCUUUCAUGUCUAAAGCAGGAUAUUCAAUUCUCUUAGUUGAGUUUGAGCACCUCUAACUCGUUUUAAUUGAAAAACAUGUAAAAAAUUAGAAGAAAAACCCUAUACAGAAUAAGGUAACUUGGUGCUUGCUCUUGAAACUGCAGAUUUAAUGAUAUCAUUAAUGAUCACAUGUUGCAACAUUGUCUAAAGGAAUGAACUAGAAGAGUCACUCACUUUGUCAGCAUCUGGGAUUUUGUUUUCUUCUGAGGUAAGUUCAGGUGAAGGGGGAGACUGUGAGGUUUGUUGACCAUCAGUUUGUACCUGGGGCUGUGUUCCAGCUUCACUGUUGUCUUGCUGGAUAUUUUUCUGAAAUGAAAGCCCAGGCACAAAGGAUGUAGAAAGCAGGUGUACUUAUAUAAAUUUAAAAGGUUAUAGGGCACCAAAGACAGUACACUCAAUUUCUGAAAUCUUAGUAGGUGGAGGAGAACAGAUACUGGAUAAAAGCAAAAUAAACACAAAAUAUUUGAAAACUCCUUAUGAAUCUUAAACCUGUAAGAAAUUCUUUGAGUGAUAGCAGUUAAUAUUGUUAAAUAACCAAGCAGUAGGCAUUUUGAUGUGAUGACAAUGAAGAACUCUCCUUUAAGAAACUUUCACCUCACUUUACACAGCUAUUAACUCUCAAAAGCAGAAGAAAGAGGUUAACUCCAGGCCUCUCUCCCAGAAACAAGAUUCCAAAACUUAAGUUCACCAGCAACCAUCAGCAGCUCGACUUACUGCCAUUUCAAUGAACUGAACAGUUGCAUAAAGGAACCAGCUAUCAGUAGUUCAGGGACUCAUCAUUUCAGCUUACAGAUAGAUACCCAAGACUCCUCUCUUUUCUCACCUUCUUUUUGUGAUCCAGCUACUUCCAACUCAGAAGAACUCAGGAUAAAGAAUAUGCGCUACAACAUGUUAGUAGACCUCAAUCCCCAAUAAAUCAGUGCUUGCUAUAGUCUUCUCAUCUUUGGGAGAAGCCCAAAACAUUCUAAGUUACCUACUUUCUGCCCACCCUGAAGUCUCUCAAAUUUUUCUUUCAGAGCUUCAAGAUUCUAAGGCAGGUACUGAGUAUACUGAAACAAGGCACUCAUGAUGUAAACAGAUCCAAAAGAUACUAAGAGAUUGAUACAACAGGCAUUAGAAUAAUGGUGUCUGUAGCCAAAUGGAAAAGUACAAGGCACUGAUCAUUCAAUACAUUAUUUUGAAAUUUUUAAAAAUGAGAACACAACUAAGGCUCAGAUAUUAAUGUUCCUGAAAUGUUCUAAAAAUGAUAAUUAGGGAUUGUCUGACCACAGGAUACCACACUUAAUCAUAUUCAACCAGAACACUGUUCCACUUGCCUCUUCGUUUAAGCUACUUCUGAUUAUUAUCCAGAAGUAAACUCUAAGAGCUAAUUUAUUUCAAAGUUUCUUUAAAUUCUUCUGCACUCAUGCUAACUGGAAACAUAUAAAUGGUAACUUUCUAUAUUCCAUGCAGAUAAUUCUCUCCCUUCCCUCUCACAAUACAUCUCCCUUCCCUCUCACAAUAUAACAAAUCAUGUAAAUUAAAAAAAAAGUCUUAAAAUACUAAAGUCAAUUUUGCAAUAGUUUUUUAUGAAUCAGCUUUAAUAUUUGGUAUAUAUUUCACCGAAUUUGUUUUUUAAGUCUUUUUCUUUUUUUCUUAAUCAGUCAACACUGCUUUCUCAGUAUGUGGUCAAUGCCAUAAAAAAAAUUCAGAGACACUUUAUUAUUUUGUAAUCAAUUAUUACAGUCUUAUUAUAUAAUGUGCCUGUUCAAAUUAAGCUAUACAGAAUUUAAGCAGAAUUCACCAAAUUCUGGGCUAUACAUUAUCACCAUCUAGCAACUGCUAUCAUCAUUCCCCAAAAUUCUAAAUAAAAUUAAGGAAAACAUUUUUGAGAACCCUUCCCUAAUUCUUUUCCUCUGGAGUUAAGUCAAAUAUAUAUUCAAACUCAAAGGCUUAUACAAAAACUUACAUCAGUGUCCAAGUUUUCUGCUGGUCUCGGAUUUGGACACUCCAUGUCUCCUUCAACAGAAGACACUUCAUUCUCCUCAGUUGGGAUUUUCUCCACCAUAGACGCUGUAGAGAUGGUGAAAAUGCCAUGUGUAUUGACUCGCACUUUGACUUUCACUCUAGAUUUUUCUCCAUCUUUCUGAGCAGAAACAUUCUGAACUAUGAAACGGCCUGGAACAAAAAGAAAUUGACAAUUUUUGAAGUGAAUCUAAAUGUCUGUAAAGAAGACAAAGGCCAAGAAAUACAGUUGAAAGUACGGCUAUUCCCAAAUCCUCCCAUUUUCUCUACCAAUUGAAUUAAGACAUAAACAACAAACAUAAAAUAAACUUAGUUGUAUGGUAUA